GACGAACGCUGGCGGCGUGCUUAACACAUGCAAGUCGAACGGAAAGGCCCGCAUCAUUUUUUUGGUGGGGGUGCUCGAGUGGCGAACGGGUGAGUAACACGUGGGUGAUCUGCCCUGUACUUCGGGAUAAGCUUGGGAAACUGGGUCUAAUACCGGAUAGGACCAUGGUUUAGUGUCUCAUGGUGGAAAGAUUAUUGUUUUGGUGCAGGAUGAGCUCGCGGCCUAUCAGCUUGUUGGUGGGGUAAUGGCCUACCAAGGCGUCGACGGGUAGCCGGCCUGAGAGGGUGGACGGCCACAUUGGGACUGAGAUACGGCCCAGACUCCUACGGGAGGCAGCAGUGGGGAAUAUUGCACAAUGGGCGCAAGCCUGAUGCAGCGACGCCGCGUGGGGGAUGACGGCCUUCGGGUUGUAAACUCCUUUCGUUAGGGACGAAGCCGCACCUUUUUUUGGGUGUGGUGACGGACCUUGUAAGAAGC
rnacentral:rRNA from 1 species